AUGUCUCCAGAACUUGGGAACGUCUCUUCUCUACAGACAUUAACAUAUUUUGUGGUGGGUUCUAGCCAUGGUUGUAGUACUAUUGAAGAACUACAGGGCUUAAACCUUGGUGGUGAACUAGAACUAUCAGGUCUUCAAUAUGUAAAUCAAGCAGAUGCUAAAGCGUGCGGUGUUGGAAAUAAAGAGAAACUCACACAUUUAUCUCUUAAAAGGUGCGAUGACAACAGUGAGGAACUGACCAACACAGGGAUGCCGUUGAUGCUCUUAAAGCUCAGGUUGCGUUGGAGUUGCUAA
rnacentral:rRNA from 1 species